rnacentral:misc_RNA from 1 species
GAUGAAGAACGUAGCGAAAUGCGAUAAGUAAUGUGAAUUGCAGAAUUCAGUGAAUCAUCGAAUCUUUGAACGCACAUUGCGCCCCCUGGUAUUCCGGGGGGCAUGCCUGUUCGAGCGUCAUUUCAACCCUCAAGCUCUGCUUGGUAUUGGGCGUCGCCGGGGAGUUUUCUCCGGCGUGCCUCAAAGCCAUCGGCGGUGGUGCCUUUCUCUAAGCGUGGUAGAAUUUUUAUUCGCUUCUGAGUUGGGCUUCGCCUGCCGGACAAACCGGGCCCUCGCGGCCCAUCUUCUAAGGUUGACCUCGGAUCAGGUAGGGAUACCCGCUGAACUUAAGCAUAUCAAUAAGCGGAGGA